AGAAACUUUCAUACAUUGAAGCUAUAUCUGAGUGGCAUGGCAGAUUCUUGACAGAUGAUCAUCUAUAUUUGAAUCUGCCAUCCUACUCAGAUCUGAUUUCAAUCUAUGAUUAUUGCCUAUUGAUCCAUUACAGGUAUGUUUUUAUGUUCUUUCUUCAAUAAUUGUUUUCAAAAAUAUUAGGAUGGUGCAAAUCUUGGCUAAAACAGCGCAAACCUUGAUCAUGAUGUUCAUAAGUUUAAGAUUUCGCAAAAUAAUUUGUUUAUGAUGUUCAUAACAAAUACCGACAUCAAUUCUUGGUCUAAUUACCGUAGAAAUAAGGGCCAUCAUUACGAGUUAAAGAAUCUAAGUUUCAUACUUUUUCUUCAAUAACUGGCACAAUGAAAAGUGAAUAACUUUGAAGAGCUCUCAUUGAUUAGAGUUCGGAAGGGAGCAGCUAUGCCGGACCUCUCCUUGGGAUCCAGUAAGAACACCAAAAUCUGAUAAUUUGGCCAUGGCAUGAGCAAAC
rnacentral:lncRNA from 1 species